rnacentral:ncRNA from 1 species
CGAACGAAGAGUUUGAUCCUGGCUCAGGAUGAACGCUGACAGAAUGCUUAACACAUGCAAGUCGACUCGAGUCUUCGGACUUGGGUGGCGCACGGGUGAGUAACGCGUAAAGAACUUGCCUCUUAGACCGGGACAACAUCUGGAAACGGAUGCUAAUACCGGAUAUUAUGGUUUUUUCGCAUGGAGGAAUCAU